UCUAUUCGACGGAAUAGUCCCGGUUUUAGAGCACCAUAAGCAUUGGGUUUGUGUAAACAAAUCAGUGCUUAACCCACAGAUGUAUCUAAUGACCAUAUGGAUUCUGCAUGUUUACAACUGGAAAAACCCCUCUGAGCUUUUCUAUUGUUUGCUGACUUUCACCCUAUACUAUUCAUUUUAUUUGUGAAAACGGAGUUAUUCACUGGGAUAUAAAAUGUUCUUAAAAGGAAACGGAGUUAUUUAAUAUACGCCACAAGACAAGAUGUAUGGCCCCUGUUCUCUGCUGCCUUGGAGUCCUCAUGUCCUAGAUUUCCCCCCACAACUGUUGGCUUGGAGACUGCAAACUUCAUGAUCCGACCAGGCUGAGGCAGCUGCAGAACUUCAUCGGUGUCCGCAACCGCCCUUUCCCCAGGAGCGAAGCGUACGAGCCCACGUCUCUGCAGCAGGCGGGCAGCCCUGAAAUGCCACCGACUGACCUCCGCCUUGCAGGCUGUGACUUGGCACAUCUGCCAAGUGAGGCACCACAGAAACAUCUCGUUGCUGAUGGCAGGGGAAGGAACGCUUCAGGCUAGAAAAGUCCACUUACGGAGGUCUUUUCUCCCCCUCUUCCCUGAGGAGAUCAGCACGCAGCGGUCUGGGCUGAGCGGGAGGCAGCGCGCCGGGCUUGGGCUGUGCUGGGCAGGAUCCCCUCGGGGCCGGACGUCUGUAGGAGAGGGGUCCUCCCGGCAGGAGACGGUCACCCCCGCCCUCAGGGCCGGGGCAGAGCAUCCCCUCUUUGCUCCACGGCGACCCGCGGGGCUCUCCCGAGCUCGGGGCCCGCCGUCGGGGCACGGCGUCCUCGCCCGGUCCCCGCGGGGCCGGCGGCCGCCUCCGCAUCCUCCCCCGCCCCGUCCGCACCGUGCAGUCGCGCCGCGGCACAGCGCGCAAGUUCCGCGGUGCCCACGGAGGGGUCCCCACCCGCCGCCGCGCUCACGGCGAAGCCGGCAUCGGCCUCGGGCUGUUCGGCACUUGCCCGGUGUGCCCCGGCGUGGGAGGGGGGAGCGGGGCACGGCGACCCCGGCUGAAGAGAACUCCCCGGCCCCCCGGCCCGGGGCUCGGGGCUCCCC